AUUGAACGCUGGCGACAGGCCUAACACAUGCAAGUCGAGCGGAGCGGCGGACGGGUGCGUAAUGCCUAGGAAUCUGCCUGUGAGUGGUGGAUAACGUCCGGAAACGGGCGCUAAUACCGCAUACUAUCACAUGAGCCUAGGUCGAGUUAGCUAGUUGGUGGGGUAAAGGCCUACCAAGGCAACGAUCCGUAACUGGUCUGGGAGGAUGAUCAGUCACACUGGACUGUAGAAACGGUCAAAAUUCCUACGGGGGGAAGCAGUGGGGAAUAUUGGACAAUGGGCGAAAUCCUGCUCCGGCCAUGCCGCGUGUGUAAAGAAGGUCUUCGGAUUGUAAAGCACGUUAAGUUGGAAGGCGUUACCAACAGAAUAAGCACCGGCUAACUUCGUGCCAGCAGCCGCGGUAAUAC
rnacentral:rRNA from 1 species